rnacentral:lncRNA from 10 species
UGCCUGGAGUGAAGAUUCUGCCCAUUGGUCAAGAGACCUCCCUCUCAGAUGCUGGCUCUGCCCCUGCCUUUGGGGGUCGACCCUUGUACUCGCAGGACCUUAGGUGACUCUAUUCUACUUCUCUGAUCAUCCAGGAAGCCAACCUGCCUGAGGACGAGUCAUACUCUGUCCUCCCACCCCAGGCCAGAGAGUGGUAUCUGUCUUUCCACAAGUUAAAGCACAGGUGGUGAAGUGUCUCAUUUCAAGUUGUUGUGGUUUUCUGCCAUGGAGGAAAGUGUUGAAAAAAAAGGGAACUAUACAGCAUAAAGAUGGGUUUUCACAGAUCCUGUCAAGGGAUCUGAAUGAUGCAGUGUCGCAAUCCCAUUUUAUAAAUGAGGCAACCAAAACUCGAACAGGACCAUAUUGCGACUGAAACAAGGCAUAACAGGUCUUUGACUGGCUAUCCUGUGGAUGUGGACUCAGGCUAGCCUGCGCAAAGUGAAAGACAGGCAAUUAGAUUGAAAAAUACCUGUGAUUCAAAGAAGUCACAAGUCACAGAGACAAACUUUUCCCAGUGUGUUCGAGUCAGAGAACCUUUGCAAAGACCAACAGGCUAAAAGAGAAAAUACAAUGUCAUG